UGCCCUUAAAGAGUGGCCUGUUAGCCUAAAUCCAAUCCGUUUUUCAUAUUGGGCAUACAUAUUGCACCUUACACAAUUUUCUGUACGUUCUGUCGCAGUAAAAGGGGGGUCCAUUCUACUCAGGCGCACGAAAAAAACGAAUAAGCUAUUUCCGGCUACAUUUAAAAGGAAACGAAAGUGAAAGGCUAUUGUCAACCUACACAGCAUAUUGUUCGGCAGUCCCUAUACGCUUUCUUCAAGCAUGGAUCAAUUGCUAAAGUUAAAGACAUUUCUGGUGAGAAUCCUGCCAGUGGAAGCCAGUUUCAUAUUGCAGCAUGUACACCAGGAGAAACUGGUGACUGAACGCGUCUACACGGAACUGCAAAAUGCCAGUGAAACAACUCCAGAGAAAUCCAUCAUCCGUCUGCUGGAUACACUCAUCACGAAAGAAGGAGAUGAGAAAUGCACUAGAUUCCUGACCCUGUUGCAGCAGCCAGACAUCAUAAAAGAACUCCCCAAACUGAAUGAAAUCAAACAGAUGAUGUAAUAUGUACAAUAUUAUGCACUAUUAAGCACAUUUGUAUAUAAUGUAGCCCUGUUUUUUGUAUGUAUGUUGGUUGUGCUUUCCUAAUUAAAGCAAAGUAACGUUUGCUAAUCUAAUCUAAUCUAAUCUAAUCUAAUGACAGCAGCGACAUAGCUCUGGCACCCAGUGGCCCAGCACCCCCAGACGCUGUCCCAACCUCUGCCUCCUCCACAGUCCACACCCCAGGUCCAUCCACAGCAGGUUCAAACAUUCCAACUACUCCUGUGAAAAAGAAAAGCCCUCUAAAGACAUCGGCGACGACACCGGUGAAGAAAACUAUAAAAUCAGCUGUGAAGACUAGGAAAAAUACCAUAGCGUGUGGAACCAUCAAUGGCGUUUCAGAGGUGAAGACGGGGAGCUCGGGGGGCAAUACUUCCAAGCUGUUCUAAACCAAGAGGAUGGGCCCAUGGUCAUUCUCAUUUUGGAUAUAGAGAAACAUAAAACCUUUCUAGGAGCAGAGAAGAGAAGGUCUUCUGUAAGGUUGAAGGGAAUCUCAUUCGAGAAACUUGGAAUACUCAAGCACCAAGAGGGGAUAAAGUUCACAAGAACAUCUAAAUUGACUUACAUGAGAGUCAAAACCACUACAAAGAUGGAACCCACUGCUGAUCAAAUAUAAUAAACACAUUUUUAAAAACUAAAAUGAAAUUUGAAGGGUGACCUACUGACCAUCUGUCAGAACAUGCCAAACCGAGCCCAGCUGGCAUGUGCUGCACUGACCGUGUGAGAGUGUGUGUGGAGUUCAAUGCCCAGACUAGAGGCAAUUAAUUACCUAGCCUACGUUAUGUAAAUACAGUGCCUUCAGAAACUAUUCACACCUUUUGACUUUUUCCACAUUUAGUUGUGUUACAAGGUGGGAUUAAAAUUGAUUUAAUUGUCAUUUUUUGUCAACGACCUACACAAAAUCCUCUGUAGUGUCAAAGUGGAAGAAAAAUUCUAACUUUUGUAAAAAAUCCAUGAAAAAUCCAACAUUAAUAUAUCUUCAUUACAUAAGUACAACCCCCUGAAUCAAUACAUGUUAGAAUAAGCAAUUACAGCUGUGAGUCUUUCUGGGUAAGUCUCUAAGAGCUUGGCACACCUGGAUUAUACAGUAUUUGCACAUUAUAAUUGUUUUAAUUCUUCAAGCUCUGUCAAGUUGGUUGUUGAUCAUUGCUUGACAGCCAUUUUCACAU